rnacentral:lncRNA from 1 species
GCAGCCUCAGCACCAUACCCGCGGAGCAGCAGCAGCCGGCUGCCCGGCACAUCGCACGCAGGCCGACUUGCCAAGGGGCGGCGUAUUUUCUGUUUGUGAUUACCAAGUGGGUGUAAGGCAGAGCUGGGAUAAACACACUUUACGGCCCGUCUGCAACUGACCGCGGCACCCAGCGAAGCCGCUCUGGGGUAACCGGCGGCGGCCACCGUACAUUCUCUCAGCCCAGCGUCGAGGGCUUCAGUCCUGGGCUCACUGCGGCCGUGGGCAGCACGGACCUGAAAGCCCGGAGGGCGCGCGGCGCGGCCCGGCCCGGCCCGGCCCUGACUGACUCCGCGUGGGCCGGUGUCGCGGACUCGGCCGCGGCCUGCCCCGGGCCCGCCCGCUUACCGCAUUCUUUUUCUGCACCAUUUUGUCCAUCUUCUUGGCAAUGCGAACCACCUCGUCCUCCAUGGCUCCGGAAGGCCUCCCCUCGCCCGGCCACAGCGGACGGGAAGCGAGAGAAGCUGCGCGGACGUUGGACAAGCCGCGAAGCCGCUGGCCUAGGCCUUCCUCACAGACCCGGCCCGCGGCGGCAGGGAUAAGCGCUCCGCCCCCUAGGCCGUGCCAGUCAAGCACCGCGCGCGCCACACAGGCACUACGAAUCGAUCGCAGGAGACUGGAAAGUAGAAGUGGCUCGCUCAGGCGUGCGCUGUUCUUUUAAUCUAUUCCCGCCCCCAGCAGUCUGGAACUUCCGGCCCUAUCCGGACUCGCGUUGCUGGCGAGCUGGAGUUGGACGGAGUCCGGCUUUCACGCCAGAGGGAUCAGGCAGUAGGCGGUAGGUUGCUACGAGUUCCAUCGAAACCCCUCCGGCAGAGCGUUCUCUGGGACGCAGGACAGGCAUUGCCGAGGGCUUAAAGCGCAUGAGCACUGAGGCUCACUCUUGGACUCAGAUAUUCAAACCAUCUAGCCUGCUGAUGAAAACCGACUAAAAAGACGACGGCCUUGAGAAUUGUGACUUAAAAAAAGCCACGGUAAAAAAAUGACAUGUAUAGUGUCUGGGAUUGUUUUUACUUUGUUCCAUGUGUUGAAAGUUAAUAAAUCAGGAGCCAAUGAACAUU